ensembl:lncRNA
AUUGUAAAAAUAAAACAAACAUUAAAAUAUGAAGUUCUUUCUAAUCCUCAAAACAUGCUCUGAAGGAUGAAUCAUUUUUUUGUUUCAGAAUUAAGUAGCUUGAGAAUAUAUAAUGGUAAUGGAUUUCUACUUAGUAAUACAGUAUUUCUGAACAUCAAUUAAAUGUAUAUAGUCUUCUUUAUAAACAUCUUUUCUUAUUAAAGAUUUGGAGCAUCAUCUGUAGGAAAAAUGAUAUUUUUAAGUAUUUUCAUUCCCAGGUUUUAUUUCUAGAAUAUAGAAUGAUGAAAUUAACAGUGUAAUAACACAUAUUUUAAUGUAAAUAUCUGUGGAAUUUUAAGUUUAAAAAUUACAUAAAUAUAAAAUUGAGAUUUUUAAUUCAUAUUCUUGUCUGGUUUUUUUAGUUUUCUAUGUGUGCAUGUGUGUAUGUGGCACUGGAAGUGGAACUCAGGAUCUUUGCACUCAGCUAAAUUUCCAACACUUAUUUCAUAUUUAAAAAAUAUUUUAGGACAGAGUCUCUCUAAUUCACUAAAUUGCCCAGGCUCAGCUUCAAUCUGCCAUGCUCCUGCCUCAGCCUCCAAGAGAGUGCUGAGAUUACAGGGGUGUGCCACUUCACUCAUCUUUAUUUUUUCUUUUAAAUCUCAUUAAAAUUACUAUGAUUUUCUUAAAAACUUAAUCCAAUGUUUUAGUUUUGAAAAGACAAAUAAAAUGUAGCAUUAAAAUUGUAUUUUACCUAUGUAGUUCUCUUAGAAUACUACUGCAUGAUCAUCCAGGUUAUAUUUGUUUAUUACCACUUAUCUACAUGUCUUUAGGCAACUUAAAUCAGUUGUAUUGUUUAUACAGUAAAACAAAAGCCAAUCUCAUGGUGUUAUCUGGGUAUUGAUGAUUCUUGUAAUGGAACUUGGGAAUCUACAUAUGAUAUAUAUGUAUAAAAUCACUGAGUAGAAGUUUCAAAAGCUUUAGAAGCAAGAUGUAGCUAUUUCUUUUACUUUUGUGUGCAUCUAUUUAAUGAUACUAAAUCUGAACUUAAAAUACAAUUUAAAACAUUGUAGAAAGUCCAGGUGUUUUCAAUUAGCCAAGCUUUAUUUAUCUUGAAACCAACCAUGACAUUCCAUUCAACCAGUGAAAAAUGUAGUCAUCAAGCGUGUAUUAAAAAGAUCUAUAAUAUUUAGAAACUAGCAAUCAAAGAAUCAAAUUUAGAAAAUGUUGCAUGCAUGUGUCCCAUGAAUUAAGGGUAAAAUAAUAUGCAAUAUUUGAAAUUGUGAUAAAGGGAACUGCUAUUGCCAGAAUACUUUCUUAGGAAAUCUAGUCAUCUGCUGUAUAUGAUUAGGGAAAUUGAUAUUUUUAAGUGACUUGCCAUGGUUUGAGAAGAAAGACACUGUUGCAUAUAAAAACAUCAGUUCUUUGGCAUCAUUUUCAUAAAUAAAAUCAGCAUAACUAUUUCUUUUUCAAGAUAGGUAAAAUGAUAGUUAUAUUUUAAUUGCAGUAUUGUAUGCUACAUUUAGAGUGACAUGACCAAAAUAUAUAAUCCUGUAGAUUAUCAUAUAUACAACCUUACAACAAUCUGACUGAGAUAGGACUCUUUCUAGGCCAAAUCAUGGAAAAGCAAAGUUGAUGUUCAGCAUCCCCGUUAAUUACUAGGUCAUUUUAUUCACUCAAAGACUCUCUAGGCAACUUUCUUGGGUAUUGUUCUUGAUCUGAAGUCUCCUGAAUGAUCUUCUGAAAAUAAAGUGUAUUUUGUUAUAACCAUACACUUCAGCCACACUACUGAUCAUAUAGUCCCUGAGAUUUAUCAUCACAUUUCACCUCUCAUCAUUGUCCUUUAAGUAUCAAAAAAAUUGUAGUAUUUGUAAACAGAGCCUUUAUAGACAGCAUUCAUUGAUAGAACUUUUGUAUGUGACAGGUUUUAACUCUGAUCUGAGCAAAGGUACUUAAUCUCCAUGCUGGUUUCUUCUUUAAAAAGAAUGUACUAAGAGGGCUUUCAGAAGGAAUAAAUAAAACAACCUAUAUGCAACCCUUAAAGUAAACUUGGAAUCAAUUUCAGAAAAAUCUUUCUUAAAUGAUAAUUGUUAUGAGGAUAAUAGGUAUUAGUAUUUAUUAUCUUUUAGGAUUUUUUUUCCCAUUAUAUGUUCUCUAACUUUCAGUUUUUAAUCAAGGUGCAUCUUAAAUUCAGGUUACUCAAUGGAGUUUCUUUUUUGUAUAAUUAAUGUUUCUUUCCUUCCUUCCAAGGUUAAUGAUAUAUAGAAUAUACCGACAAUAGGAUUCUUAAAUGUAGUAGAUCAAAUUAGAGGGAAAAUCUUAUAAUCUUUAAAAAUGUCUAUCAUUUUAGGAAGGUCUUCGAAAUCUAAUAUAAAACUUUGGAUUUCUGAAAUUUGGGAGGUAAUGUUGGAGACAGGCACACACAUGUUACCUUUUAUGUAUUUUCUGUUUUCUUUUGCAUGUGAAUUUUUUUGUAGAAUGUCAUCAUUAAUAAGCACAAUUGUUCAUUAGUUGCUUCCUCUUAUCAAGUGAAGUAAAAAAGUAUCUUUUUAAAAUUUUCAUGAUGUCUAGUGAUUAAUGACUGUGUGCACCAAUUGUACGUACUUGUUUUCAGAUCUUAUGUUUGAAAAACAAAGUUUAAAAAUCCUUACACAUAAAUAUCUAAAAUUUUAUGUAUAUAUGUUGCAUGUGAUAUACCUUUAUAGCUUAUAAAAUUGUCUUAUCUAAUUUUUAAGGAAAUUAAUUCUGAUUAUCGUACAUAUACAUUAUCCAAUGAACAUCCGAGGGCAUUUGUUGAAACAUGAAGAUGGCUUAAAUAUCUCGCUUUAGGGGAAAUAGGAAACAAGGGACAAUAAUGUCAGUCAUGUUAUGAAAAAUUUAAGACAUCAAAUAUUACUCAGGUGUUAAAAAAGCAACAAUUCUAUACAUUUUUGUAGCCCACAGAAUAAAGUAACUCAUUUAAUCAAUAUCUACUUAAACUUUACAUAAUAUUUGAUUUAUAGUGCUAUUGGUAUUUUUUGUUAGAUUUUAUUGACAAUUUGUGUUGAGAAUGCAGAUAUUAGGGAAACAGGUCAAGUAAUUUUUAAGUAAAAAUAUGUCCAUUCUGCAACAUUCAAUUGCAAAAUACCAUAGCUCUUGCUAAUAUAUCUCUGCAAAAUGAAAACUCAUUAUUUUACAUUUAAUAAAAGGGAACAUUAAUUAUUCCUGCUUGUUUUCAUAAUAUGUUUUAGAACUUAUAAGCUAAAUAAUUUCAUAAAAAUCUUGUGUUGAUAUUGCUUGACCAGUUAAAUGUAUUGGUUUACAUUUGAAUGUGCUUUUAGUUUAUUGAUAUCAAUUAUGUUUAAUUUUAAGGUAAACAAUAACCUAUGGUAUAUGGACUUAAAAAUGUUUUCUGAGAAGCAUGGAUUUAGACAUGUCCAGCCAACAUGGGAUGGAUACUUUUGGGUUCUCCAUAGCAACAAUAUGAAGAAGAAAGAGAAAGAGUGAGACUGACAACAAGAAGACACAUAGACACUGAAUAAUGUUCUUUUGGGUUGUUGUGCAUCCACAGAACAAAUGAGGAAGUUCAUCCUUAAGAAGACAAUCUAGAUUGACAAUGUGCUGAUCUCCAAAUGAAGCAUUUUUAUUGUCUGAGCAAAGAAGAAAAUGCAUCCUUUUUGGGAGCAAAUGAACCACCAGCUUGAAAGGAAAUAUUUGAUCAAGGUAUUGAUGCACAGCCAGAGGAAUGCAUCAAAACAAUAACUCUAAUUCCUAUUAUGGCUGUUAAUUAAUGGAUGAGAAAGGAAGAGAGAAAAAGGAAAAGGGAGGAGGAGGAAGAAAUAAAUUAACAAGAGGAAAAAGAAGAAGGGCAUUGGCAAGAGUGACAGAAUAAAUUAAAAUAUCCAUAAUGCAAAGGUUACUGUAUGGACAUGAGAAAAUGGCUCCAAGGAAAGGGUAAACUUAAAUUUUUUGUAUAAUUUCCAGUGGGGUUUUGUGAAGUUAUGGAUUCUGAUUCAUUAGCUCCAGGAUGGGACUAAGAUUUCUGUGUUUCCAACCAGCUCCUGGGCAACAAUGAUGCAGUUCUGCAUACCACACUUUGAGUAGCAAGGUAAUAAAAGUUGCAGAAAAUGUUGGACAUUUUCACUAAAUCAUGAAAUAAAAAAGGUAAGUUAAUCAGUGACCACAAAGGACUAUCCAAUAAUAAAUUUGGAAAUAAAGACUUUAAAUAGCUUAAGCGAAACAGUUUACACAUACUGGCAAAGAGAAGACUACAAACACUUGUUCAUAAGUGUGGCGCUGUGGAUUUUUUGGAAGGAAACUGUAAGUAUGUAGUGGUUCAAAGGACAAGGCAACUUGAAGUUAUCAGAGAAACAAGGAUAGGUAAAACUUUCAGGAAAACAUUCUCAUGGACUGAGUGAAAUAGUACCAGGGUAAAAUUUAGUAUUGGAGAUGGAAAAGAAAAUGCAGAAUUGGCAACUAUAUCUGACUCAUAAUUUCAGAACAUAGCAAUUAAUUAGAGAAGAAUAAUUGAGAUAAAAAUAUAGGUGUGUGUCAAGGAAGGAAUUAGAUGCAUUAUGUUUUAUUUUGCCUUUGUUGCUGAAGAAGCUAUGGGAAAACCUGUCACAUUAAAAAAAACUGGAAAAAGUUAUGGUGUGGUAUGAAAAUAAUGGUGUUAAGAGAGAUGUAAGGUCUACCUAUGGGUGUAUUGAUUAAAUACUUAGAGGCUCAGAAGAUAAAUGCGGGAAUUGGGCCACUGGUUUUAAUAAUUAGAAGUCAGAAGGGACUGCACUUAUUGAGCAUACACUGCAAGCUAGUAAUUUGUUUCCUAUGUUAUUUCUUCUCAUUAGAAGGCCACGCGUACCCUUAGCAAUAACACUCUUGAUAAAAUGAUGCAAAUGGUAGAGAAGUAGAUUCGGAAUAUGCAUAGGUACAUUUGGAAAAAGAACACAGAAAAGCGAAGCCCAUUUCUUUUAAUUGGAUAAUAAAGGGAGCCUUCUUCCUCUUCCUCUUCCUCUUCCCCUCCUUGCCUCCUCCCCUCUUUCCAUGUUCCCUUCUUCCUCUCCCCUUUCCUUUCCCUCCCCCUCUCCCUCUCCAAGGCCAGGCACAUCCUUCUGUAGAUACUGAGAAACUGUUGAGUAAAUUACUAUAUCCAAGAUCCAAGCUAAUGGCAGCUACAAAUGAUAAAGCAGUUGAUGAUGGCAGGCAGUUUGUCAAUAUUCAUAUCCCUAGAGUCCCAUCCCUAGAGAAAGACAUCUUUUUUCCUGUCUCUUGGUUGUUAUAGCAC